rnacentral:rRNA from 1 species
UACGUAGGAGCCUAGCGUUGUCCGGAAUUACUGGGUGUAAAGCGCGUGUAGGCGGCAUACCAAGUCUGUUGUGAAAUCGCCCGGCUCAACUGGGCGGGGUCAAUGGAAACUGGUAAGCUGGAGGACGGUAGAGGCGAGUGGAAUUCCCGGUGUAGUGGUGAAAUGCGUAGAGAUCGGGAGGAACACCUGUGGCGAAGGCGGCUCGCUGGGCCGAUCCUGACGCUGAGACGCGAAGGCGUGGGGAGCGAACGGG